rnacentral:rRNA from 1 species
GGGGGGGGGGGGGGGGGGGGCGGGGGGGGGCGGGGCGGAGGGGGGGGGCGGGGCGGGGGGCGCCGGGGGGCGGGAGGCGUGGGAACCGGGGCUGAGGUUGGGGCUAACUGCCCGACCGGGGGGGUAAUGCCGGAGAAUGGUGGCGAACAAACGAUUUGUCCCCCUUGGAUGGGCCCGCGUUGGCUUAGCUAGUUGGUAGGGUAAAAGCUUACCACGGCGACGAUCCCUAGCUGGUCUGGGAGGGUGAUCAGCCACACUUGGACUGAGACACGGCCCAGACUCCUACGGGAGGCAGCAGUGGGGAAUAUUGGACAAUGGGCGAAAGCCUGAUCCAGCAAUGCCGCGUGAGUGAUGAAGGCCUUAGGGUUGUAAAGCUCUUUUACCCGGGAUGAUAAUGACAGUACCGGGAGAAUAAGCUCCGGCUAACUCCGUG